UAUUGUACUGAUGAUCAAUUAAUUUGGGGACGGAGGGAGUAAUAAGCACGGCUUAUAGAAACAAAACAUAGACCUGAAUGUCUUCCAGCUAAACGUAUCAUGCAUGAUAGCACUAUUGCUAUUACAAAAUAUAUAGAGGUAAAACACAUUGUCUUUUCCCCUAACGGAGCUGAGAUAGCCCUAUUGCUAUCAUACUAAUAUAUAGUAGAGUUAGAAUAUGUGUUCUUUCCACAGCUGGAGCCUGGAGCUACUAAAACAACCAGCAGAAUGAUUUUCGUAAUCGACAUUCCGGAGCCACUGAUAUCAGAAGAAAGCACACUGCC
rnacentral:lncRNA from 1 species